UACGUAGGGUGCAAGCGUUGUCCGGAAUUAUUGGGCGUAAAGAGCUCGUAGGCGGUCUGUCGAGUCUGCUGUGAAAACUCGGGGCUUAACCCCGGGCCUGCAGUGGGUACGGGCAGACUAGAGUGCGGUAGGGGAGACUGGAAUUCCUGGUGUAGCGGUGAAAUGCGCAGAUAUCAGGAGGAACACCGGUGGCGAAGGCGGGUCUCUGGGCCGUAACUGACGCUGAGGAGCGAAAGCGUGGGGAGCGAACAGG
rnacentral:rRNA from 1 species